CCCGAGCAGUGGGCGCUGGGGCGCGGUGUCUUCAGGCGGACGCGGGCUGUCGCUUCCGACUUCUGUGUCUCACUUUCAGGGAUCACAAACUCGGGGUAACACUGGCCCGGAGGGCACAUCCAGCUGUUGGCGUAUGUGAGCGCCAGAGAUGCCGACGAGAAGAGGGCAGCUCCGGGUUUAAUGCGGGCUGGAGACCCAUGGAGUUCCUUUGGCGUCUCGAAUCCAGCGCAGCCGUGGUCUGACGGAGAUUCCUGGGAUUCGAGCCGGCAGGGAUGGUGCGGCCGGACCCUGCCCUAGAUCAGAAAGUCUCGUACGUCCCCAGCCUUUUCGGGCACCCGGGUCUCUGAGGCAGAGGUCUCGAGCCCCCGGCGGGGCCGAGCUCUUAGAGGCGCAGGCUUGGUCACCCACCCUACGCGUCCAGCCCGGCUUUUGGGGCCACCUCUAGGGCCACACUGAUGGUUGGGCCCAGUUUGCGUGUUUCAGAUGAAAAAUUCACAAGGGACAUGAGAUUCAUAUCUCAUGGGGAUCAAACCUCAUGUCAGUGGCACAGGAGGAAUUAGAAGCUGUGUUUCCUUUGAGACCUGAAGAUCCAGUUCUAGGUUUUCCUGCUGCUCCCAAGCUUUGGGCAAAGUACCUACACUUCUCUGAGCCUCAUAAUGGUGAUAAUACUCUUCCCACUUACCUCAUUCAGUUAAUGUAGAGGUCAAAGUCAUACAUGUUUUCUCAGUCAUUUGUUAACUGCUUGAACCCAAAACUGGACCCUAAUGUGUUGCAGAACAACUUUGGCAUUUUUGAAGCACUGUGUAAAAGUAUUAUUAGAAAAGCUUCUCUCAGCCUCCUGAAGUAACCUGCCUCCCAAGCUGCCUUAUUCCCAGGAGAAUCUUCAUCUCCACUUUAUCAUAGCCCAGGGAUCCUGAAGUGGGAUGGAAGAAGGGUAUCUGACCUGGACUGGUGGUCUUGAAACCUUCCGGAAAACUGGAAAGAAGACUUUUUUUUUUUUUUUAACUCCAUGGAGACAAAUGGAUUAAUCCGUUCACAGAUUAUCAUUAUGUUUGGUUGAGAGAGGAAGUCUGGUGACAAAAUGUUCCCUGAAGACAGCAGCCAGUUGUGCUGGUCUCAGCACGCCCCGUGUCUUUUGUGACACCUGAACGUGAGGAGAUGUUCCUAGCUAAGCUGGAACCGGACAACAGCUUUGGCCCAAUUACAGGAAUGAGGAAGAUUUCAUCAGGAAUGGGGAACAGAAGGUAACUGGUUAACUGUGUUUCUGGAAAACGUCUCCUUCUGCUCAGUGGGGCUGUGAACGAGAACCAUGCGUGUGAACUGGAGUAGGAGGCACUGACCGCAGCUGCCUGGACCCUGGCUCCAGCCGGGGAGACGGGGCUAGGUAGAGGGACUUUCCAGAAAAGGGAACAGCAACCUUGCUCUGGGACAAAUCCUAUAGUGCUUUUUCAGAUAUUGAAUACAAAUUGACUACGCCUGAUCAGUCCUGAUGAUUCCAUGCUGUAAUAUACCGAAACAUGCAGAAAUUACUGAAAGACUCCUGGCUCUUGUGCCCCUGCACUGAAACAUAAUGACAAUCGCUUCAUUUCUUAAACGCAAAGCUGGGGCAGUUAUAACUGCUUCGUGGUGUCAUGAUGGUUAACAGACACG